UCUCCGUUGGUGAACCAGCGGAGGGAUCAUUACCGAGUUUACAACUCCCAAACCCAAUGUGAACGCUACCAAACUGUUGCCUCGGCGGGGUCGCGCCCCGGGUGCGUAGAAGCCCCGGAACCAGGCGCCCGCCGGAGGAACCAACCAAACUCUUCCUGUGGUCCCCUCGCGGACGUUAUUUCUCACAGCUCUGAGCAAAAAUUCAAAAUGAAUCAAAACUUUCAACAACGGAUCUCUUGGUUCUGGCAUCGAUGAAGAACGCAGCGAAAUGCGAUAAGUAAUGUGAAUUGCAGAAUUCAGUGAAUCAUCGAAUCUUUGAACGCACAUUGCGCCCGCCAGUAUUCUGGCGGGCAUGCCUGUCCGAGCGUCAUUUCAACCCUCGAGCCCCCCCGGGGGAUCGGCGUUGGGGAUCGGGACCCCUCACCGGGUGCCGGCCCCGAAAUGCAGUGGCGGUCUCGCCGCAGCCUCUCCUGCGCAGUAGUUUGCACAACUCGCACCGGGAGCGCGGCGCGUCCACGUCCGUAAAACACCCAACCUUCUGAAAUGUUGACCUCGGAUCAGGUAGGAAUACCCGCUGAACUUAA
rnacentral:rRNA from 2 species